rnacentral:misc_RNA from 1 species
CUGCUCUGAAAUCAGAACGAGUCACUGGAGCCAAGGGGAAGUCGUUCUAGCCGUAGGUGGCAGGUGGAAGGUCGCAUAUCACAGAUUAAGAUGGCGAGGUGAGAACAAUCUGAUCCUGUGCUUGGCUUCGUACCUACUGGAGUGCAACUGUCACCGACGGACUCAUCGACACGCGCAAUUGUACAAGCACCGGUGCCGUACGAGCGACAAGGUGUCACUCAAAUGGUCGAAACAGACGAAUUUGUGGAGCUUACCCCGCCAGAGAUGACUUCCUUGAGAAGGUACUCUCGGAUCUGUGAACAAGGCGAACUGAUGCUGACUUUUCUAUGGCUCUAUGACACUAUGAUGUCAUUCACUCGACUAUAAUUACAUGAAUGGUCAAAACACGGCCACCUUCGUUGUGUAUACUGGCUUACUUCUUACAAAUCAUGACUAAAUGUUGAGAUUAGAGCCCAUAUUCAAAGGGGAGAAGAUAGGGGGUGUCUAGUGAAUUCCUCUGCGGUACUGUACGGAUGUAACAAUUUGAACAACGGCGUUUC